rnacentral:rRNA from 1 species
GGGGAAUAUUGCACAAUGGGGGAAACCCUGAUGCAGCAACGCCGCGUGGAGGAAGAAGGUUUUCGGAUUGUAAACUCCUGUCUUUUGGGACGAUAAUGACGGUACCAAAAGAGGAAGCCACGGCUAACUACGUGCCAGCAGCCGCGGUAAUACGUAGGUGGCGAGCGUUGUCCGGAAUUACUGGGCGUAAAGGGCGCGUAGGCGGCCAAUUAAGUCAGAUGUGAAAACCCCAGGCUUAACUUGGGGAGUGCAUUUGAAACUGGAUGGCUAGAGUGUCGGAGAGGGAAGCGGAAUUCCUAGUGUAGCGGUGAAAUGCGUAGAUAUUAGGAGGAACACCAGUGGCGAAGGCGGCUUUCUGGACGAUAACUGACGCUGAGGCGCGAAAGCGUGGGGAGCAAAC